GUUGGGAAUAUAGCUCAGUUGGUAAAGUGUUUGCCUCAUAUGCAGGCCCUGGGUUCAAUCCCCAGCAACA
rnacentral:tRNA from 1 species